rnacentral:rRNA from 1 species
AAGUUGUUGCAGUUAAAAAGCUCGUAGUCGGAUGUCGGGCUCGGGCAGGCUGUCGGCUUCGGUCGGACGGCAGGCUCGGGUCUUUCUGCCUGAGGAUCCCGUGCACUUUAUUGUGGGCGGGGGACGCAGGUCGUUUACUUUGAAAAAAUUAGAGUGUUCAAAGCAGGCCUACGCUUGAAUACAUUAGCAUGGAAUAAUGGAAUAGGACUUUGGUGCUAUUUUGUUGGUUUAUGGGACCGAAGUAAUGAUUAACAGGGACAGUUGGGGCCGUUUAUAUUUCGUUGUCAGAGGUGAAAUUCUUGGAUUUACGAAAGAUAAACUUCUGCGAAAGCAUUCGGCAAGGAUGUUUUCAUUGAUCAAGAACGAAAGUUAGGGGAUCGAAGACGAUCAGAUACCGUCGUAGUCUUAACCAUAAACUAUGCCGACUAGGGAUCAGUGGAUGUCAAUUUGCGACUCCAUUGGCACCUUGUGAGAAAUCAAAGUUUUUGGGUUCCGGGGGGAGUAUGGUCGCAAGGCUGAAACUUAAAGGAAUUGACGGAAGGGCA